rnacentral:rRNA from 1 species
GUGAUCCGGUGGUUCUGAAUGGAAGGGCCAUCGCUCAACGGAUAAAAGGUACUCCGGGGAUAACAGGCUGAUACCGCCCAAGAGUUCAUAUCGACGGCGGUGUUUGGCACCUCGAUGUCGGCUCAUCACAUCCUGGGGCUGAAGUAGGUCCCAAGGGUAUGGCUGUUCGCCAUUUAAAGUGGUACGCGAGCUGGGUUUAGAACGUCGUGAGACAGUUCGGUCCCUAUCUGCCGUGGGCGCUGGAGAACUGAGGGGGGCUGCUCCUAGUACGAGAGGACCGGAGUGGACGCAUCACUGGUGUUCGGGUUGUCAUGCCAAUGGCACUGCCCGGUAGCUAAAUGCGGAAGAGAUAAGUGCUGAAAGCAUCUAAGCACGAAACUUGCCCCGAGAUGAGUUCUCCCUGACUCCUUGAGAGUCCUGAAGGAACGUUGAAG